CCCAUAGCUCAGUUGGUUAGAGCAGGGGACUCAUAAUCCCUUGGUCCUAGGUUCGAGUCCUAGUGGGC
rnacentral:tRNA from 1 species